rnacentral:hammerhead_ribozyme from 1 species
AUCCAGCUGACGAGUUCCAAUUAGGAUGAGACGUUUGUCCUGGAU